rnacentral:rRNA from 1 species
GUCCACGCCGUAAACGAUGGGUGCUAGGUGUCGCGGGCUUUGACCCCUGCGGUGCCGUAGCUAACGCAUUAAGCACCCCGCCUGGGAAGUACGGUCGCAAGACUAAAACUCAAAGGAAUUGACGGGGCCCGCACAAGCGGUGGAGCAUGUGGUUUAAUUCGACGCAACGCGAAGAACCUUACCUGGGCUAGAAAGUAUAGAAACCCUGCCGAAAGGCGGGGGUGCUCUUCGGAGAAUCUAUAGUUAGGUGCUGCAUGGCUGUCGU